AAAGUCGUAACAAGGUUUCCGUAGGUGAACCUGCGGAAGGAUCAUUAAAGGUUUUCGUCGACCCUCUGCAAAGAGGAGUUCGGCGGCCAAGAUCAACCACUGUGCGCAUAUAUUGAAAUCAUUAUUGCUUUUGGUAAGGUUCCCUUCAAAAUUUUUUUUUUGGAGGAGCGCCUGCCAAGAGUAUAUAUCAAAAUCUCCCUUAUUUUUUGACUGAAAUUUUUUUUAAAUAAAAUUUAAUACAACUUUCAACAACGGAUCUCUUGGCUCUC
rnacentral:misc_RNA from 1 species